AUGUUCCAGAACAUUCCUGAGCAUUCCCAGGGAUGUUCCGGAACAUUCCUGAGCAUUCCCAGGGAGGUUCCAGAACAUUCCCAGGGCUCGGGGCAGACCCAGGGCACCAGAGGGAAUCCAGGAUGUCGGGAUGAGGGUGGGGCUGUGCUCGAGGGGCAGCGGAUCCGGGAUUCUGGAACAUUCCCGAGGGUGGAUUUGGGAUCCUGGAGAUUCCCAAGGCUGGAUCUGGGAUUCUGGAACAUUCCCAGGGCUGGAUCUGGGAUUCUGGAACAUUCCCAGGGCUGGAUCUGGGAUUCUCGGAGAUCCCAAGAUCGGAUCCGGGGUUCUGGAAUGUUCACGAGGCUGGAUCCAGGAUCCUGGAAGAUCCCAAACCUGGAUUCAGGAUCCUGGAACGUUCCUGAGGGUGGAUCCAGGAUCCUGCGGGAUUCCAGGACGGGAAUGAUCCAGGAUCCUGCGGGAUUCCAGGGCAGGAAUGAUCCGGGAUGCUGCCGGGGAUGCUCCGGGACGCGCGCGGGUUCCCAAGGCACGGGGUGGGGCCGGAGGGUGCCCCGAACAUUCCGGGGUUCCCGAGGAUGCCCCAAACAUUCUGAGAAUCCCAAGAGUGCCCCAAACAUUCUGGGAUGCCCCAAACAUUCUGGGGUCCCGAGGCGGCUGGAGCGGGGUGUGGGAGCAUUCCCGAACAUUCCCGAGCAUUCCCGAACAUUCCCGAGCAUUCCCCGGAUGUCGCAGGAAGCGGGGACAUUCCGGUGCUGGAGCCGGGGGACACCGGAGCGGGAUCUGUCCCUGUCCCCGCCGCUCCCUGUCCCCAGGGCCACCUGGCCCUGUCCCCUCCCCUGUCCCCUCCGCCUGUCUCCUGUCCCAGUCCCUGUCCCCGUCCUCGUCCCCUCUCCUGUCCCUGUCCCCUCUCCUGUCCCCACCUUCUGUCCCUGCUCCUGUCCCCUCCCCUGUCCCUGUCCCUGUCCCCUCUCCUGUCCCCUGCUCCUGUCCCCUGCUCCUGUCCCCUCCCCUGUCCCUGUCCCUGUCCUUGUCCCCUCUCCUGUCCCCCUCCUGUCCCUCUCUUGUCCCCGUCCCUGUCCCCGUCCCCGGGCGGGAUGGGGACAGGGCACAGUGCCACCCUCACAGUGUCACCAGCCAGACCCCGCGGGCACCGAGGGGAUCGCGGUGGCCCUGGCGGUGCCAUCGAGUCCCCCCGGGCUGUCCCCAGCGCCACCGUCCCCGCCCCAGCCCCUCCCGAGCGGGAAAAGCGUUUCUAAAAAUCCCGAAGGACCGAGCCCGGCGGGGGCCGGGGGUGGCAGUGAGGCACCGGUGGCACCGGCGACAGAGGGGACAGCCCGGGGGGCUCCUGGCACAGAGGUGACACCGGUCCGAGCCCGGCCUGGGGGGCUCCUGGCACGGCGGUGACACCGAUUCUGGCACGGGGGUGACACCGGUCCUGGCACGGCGGUGACACCGGUCCGAGCCCGGCCCGGGGGCUCCUGCCCUGCGGAUGGUGCUGAAUUCGAUGGCAUCGAAGACGAGACGGUGUCACUGGGUCAGACAAGGACCUGCUGGCAGAGGAAAGUCACCGCCGUGUCCCCACUCCCGUCCCGGUGUCCCCACUCCCGUCCCGGUGUCCCCAUUCCCAUCCCGGUGUCCCCACCCCUCCCGGUGUCCCCGUUCCCCUCCCGGUGUC
rnacentral:lncRNA from 1 species